rnacentral:lncRNA from 1 species
UGAUGAUCUUUUUUAUUUUUAUCUAGUGAUCUAUCCUACAACAACCUUACAUCUGAAAGCACAUCCUCAAAUUGUCAACCGCUUAAACUGUAAGGUCACUUUCACUAUUAUCGGAAUUAUAAUUUGAUUCUUUUCCCAUCUUCCACAUAUUAGUAACACUGCACCAUUUUUUGCAGGAACUUGUUCGAAAGCUCAAAGGGAAAUACAACGUGAGUUUCUAUGAUUCUUUCAUGCUUUGUUUCCUGUGAUCCCUCAAUCUUUCCUUAUCAUAUAUCAUGUUUCAAUAUGAUCCAAACCUGACUAGUUCUAAAACUACAUCAUUUUCCCAGUGGUAUCACAUCUUGUUUAAGGAGCUUUCACUGCGAGAAAAGUAAGUUAAAGUCAACUUCUACUGGAUUGCCUAACCAAUAUCUUUAAGGUUGCCACUUUGUUUUAAUUGUAGUUGAAGUCAAUUAAGAACUUUACGGCAAUUACAAUAUGCAAAAUGAUAUAGGAUGAAAACAUGUAAAAGAGGGCAUAGAAAUCAUCAUGUCAUUGUAACGAAAAAGUGUGGAAUUAAAGAUAUGUGACAAGGCGAAUUUACACAAAAAGCAUGGUGUUAGUAAUCUCUUAGAUCCUCUUCACUCUCCUCUUUGAUCAUUAGAACUACACUACAUGCUGUGGAUGAUCGGUAAUAAGCUGUUACAGCUUAUAUUGAAAAUUAUUAUGAAAAUAAUUGAAGCCAAAUUCUUGUCUUCUGGUGAUUAUAAAAUGUACAUCGGCUGGAUUUACGAUUAGUUGUGCCAGAUGACAAUGCAAGAAGUGAGUAGGAUUACAUGGGAAUUUUCUGAGUGAUCUGACAUAUUAAUUUUCCAUCUAGAAAAUAACUCAUGUUCUUUGCCUCUGUAUUGGUUUGUCUCAUCAGAACUUUGACAUUAGUAGCUCGUUGGUUCAAGGGAUUUUACCGUAUGCUUAUAUAAUAGCGCAUGCACUGGUGUUAUAGUCAGUUUUUUAACAUUAUUGCGGCUUCUGGACUUCCAUACAUAAUAAUUUUGCACAAGAAAAAAAUAUAUUUCUUUUCUGUGGGUGCAUUCAGUUUCCUUGUAUUUUUCCCUCGUUUUUAGCCAUCGUUUAUCUUCUCAAACAGAGAGAACUCAUUUUACGGAUUGUUUUUCAGAGUAUUACUUUCUCCAUAUAAAUUGUGGUGGAAUAGAAGUAAAGGUUGGUGAUAAAGGUCCUCCAUUUGAGGCAGACGGCGAAACUGGUGGGCCAUCUAAUUUCGUGCAGAGUAAGACUAACUGGGCAUUUAGCAGUACCGGCCACUUCCUGGAUGAUGAACGCAGUAGAGAUUCGUACAUCUGGGAGAACAUCUCUAGUAUCUCUGGGAAGGAUCCUCAGUUGUAUAUGAAUGCACGACUUUCUCCUCUGUCACUGACCUAUUAUGGAUUCUGUCUGGAAAACGGAAACUAUACAGUAAACCUUCACUUUGCGGAGAUCAUGUUUACUGAUGACAGAACAUAUAGUAGUCUCGGAAGGCGCAUAUUUGAUGUUUAUGUUCAGGUAAUCACAUACCUGCAACCACUAUUCACAAGAGAAAAAUGUCAUUUGUGAAAGAUACUCUUAUAGAAGAUGGAAAUUUUUCUGUAUGAAUAUGUUAAAUUUUGUUGUUGUUAAUAGAUGGAGAUCAGUUUUGGCAUUUUUUUUUUUUUUUUUUUUCCCCUUUUAUGGUAAUUUACUUACUCUCAAUAGCAUAAGAAGAUCUAUAAUAUAUUAUGGGUUAAAUUAUUUCAGGGAAAGCUGGUGAAGAAGGAUUUCAAUAUUGAAGAUGAAGCAGGUGGAGUUAAUAAGGCAAUUGUUAGAAACUUCACUGCUUCUGUCACUGAUAAUACCUUGGAGAUCCGGUUCUACUGGGCUGGAAAAGGGACUAUUGGCAUCCCAAAUAGAGGAGUAUAUGGUCCACUCAUUUCGGCUAUCUCUGUUAAUCCUGGUAUGCUAUGAAUUCUCUUGAGAUUCUUGUAAACAGUAACUUUUUUCUCCAGUUUCAACAAUUGAAAAUUCAAAGCAUAACCUCAGUUUUCCCACUGUUACUUUUGUUCUAAACAGAAGAAAAAAAUCAAUGAAUUUAUAUGUUAGUUGAAGAUUUUCUUAGAAUAUUAUACUAGGGUCUUAGGAUAAUAAUUUAGCAGCCAAAAUGUUACCCUGACUGUUUCUCUUGUUUCUCUCUACUUUGUUCAGAUUUUCCAGUACCAUCAGAAAAUGGAAACAUGUCUACUGGCGCUAUAGUUGGGAUAGUUAUUGGUGUUCUGUUUACGAUUUUUCUAGUUCUGGGAAUUCUUUGGUGGAAGGGUUGCUUAGGAUCCAAAGAUACUACAGCACAAGGUAUUGCAUAAGCUUCUUAUUUUUCAUGUGUGUAGAUCUAUUAGGCAGUCAUAUAUGAGUGAUAUAUCCACGACCCUGUGCAAUCUAAUUCUGUCAAUCCUCUUUAUACUUGGUUAUAGAUUAGAAAGAGAGUUUUCAAUUGUCUUGAACGCUUCUUGAUGUUUUUGACAGAUCUAAAGGGUCUAGACCUACACACUGGAUCAUUUACCCUAAGACAAAUUAAAGCUGCCACAAACAAUUUUGAUCCUGCUAACAAGAUUGGAGAAGGUGGUUUUGGUCCUGUGUACAAGGUAUCCUAAGGAAGAGCUAUUUUUCGAAUCUACUAUGGUUUGGUCACUUGAAACCUCUUUUGACAUUAUGAAUUGUUUGAAGGGUCUCCUGUCAGAUGGAAUCAUCAUAGCUGUGAAGCAGCUUUCUUCUAAAUCGAAGCAAGGGAACCGUGAAUUUGUGAAUGAAAUAGGCAUGAUUUCUGCUCUACAACACCCUCAUCUUGUAAAGCUGCAUGGAUGCUGUAUCGAAGGCAACCAGUUGUUGCUUGUGUACGAAUACAUGGAGAAUAACAGCCUUGCUCGUGCUUUAUUUGGUAAUGCAAAAAAGCUUAACUUUUUAUUCCAGUACUGAAAUGAAAUGCAAAAACGUGUAACCCGUUGUUAUCUGAUUCGUAUAUUUUUGUGCAAACGAGUGUUCUCAGGUCCAGAAGAACACCAGUUGAAAUUGGAUUGGCCUACAAGGCGCAAGAUCUGUAUUGGUAUAGCAAGAGGAUUGGCUUAUCUUCAUGAGGAAUCGAGAUUAAAAAUUGUCCAUCGGGACAUCAAGGCUACCAAUGUGCUUCUUGAUAAGAAUCUUCAUCCAAAAAUAUCUGAUUUCGGUCUUGCCAAACUCGAUGAAGAAGAUAAUACCCAUAUAAGCACUCGUAUCGCUGGAACUUUGUGAGUAAUAAAAUGCUGAUCUUGCUUUCUUUUUUCUUUUCUUUUCUUAUUUUUGACAAGUGUCUUCUCCUUUCUCCUUUUCUACAUAACUUAUCUGAAAUGAUACUACAUAAUAUUAAAAUUACAUGACGUAUGAGUGUUGUGUAUCUCCCAGUGGAUAUAUGGCACCUGAAUAUGCUAUGCGAGGCUAUUUGACCGAUAAAGCAGAUGUAUACAGUUUCGGAAUUGUUCUUCUAGAAAUUGUCAGUGGUAGAAGCAACACUAGUAUCAGGCCAAAAGAGGACUCUUUCUAUCUUCUUGAUUGGGUAACAGUUGCUAUUAUUUUAUGUGCUUAUUCCUAAUUGUGUUCGUACAAACUCUGACUAGCUCUUUGUUUCCUUUUUUUAGGCUAAUUCCUUGAAGGCUAACGGAAAAUUAACGGAACUGAUUGAUCCAAGAUUGGAAUCAAACUUCAGUAAAAAAGAGGUGAUCAUGACUAUCAAUGUAGCGCUCCAUUGUACCAAUGCUGUAGCUGCCGAAAGACCAAGUAUGUCAACAGUUGUAAGCAUACUCGAAGGAAGAGAGCGUGUUCAAGGAUUUGUACCAGACUCCAGUAUUUCAAUGGACGAAAUGAAGCCAAAGAGUCAAGACCAAGCAACAGAGUCAAAUGAUGAUCAAGACCAAAGUAUUUCAAUGGAUGCUCCUUGGACAGCUUCCUCAACCUCGACCGCUGACCUGUAUCCGAUCACUUUGGAUACUGAUUACUGGGAGAAGAGAAUGUAAAAAGUCGCAUUUCUAUGUGUUUUUGGUCCUGAAAUUUCGUUUUCCUUACAGACGACGUAAAUUUUUCAUUUUUUUUUCUUUUUCCCAGAAAUUCCCGUCUUAUAUUUUAUCUUUGUUCUCGCAUCAAGGAUUUGUUUGAUCCUUAACUUCUUUGUACAUUUUGGGUUUGUAUAUUUAAAUGCAUUUCUAUAUAUGCAAUUAGAAAGAACUUUAUAUUGGAAUAAAUUAUUUGUUAGAAAAUCUUACUGCAAUUGAUA